rnacentral:sRNA from 1 species
AAAUUCUAGAAUGACAAUCAAAAUAUAAUUAUAUAAUUAAAUACUACUACGAGUGAAAUUCUAGAAUUGACGAGUUUGAAUCGAUAUAAAUAUGGGAUGGUGUACUACGGGUGAUAUUUUAGAAUUGACUGGUUUGGGUUGAUAAUAAUUUGCGAUAGAAUUAGGAGUGAAAUCUUAGAAUGACAAUUAAAAUAUAAUUA